rnacentral:rRNA from 1 species
AUUGAACGCUGGCGGCAGGCCUAACACAUGCAAGUCGAGCGGAUGAAGGGAGCUUGCUCCUGGAUUCAGCGGCGGACGGGUGAGUAAUGCCUAGGAAUCUGCCUGGUAGUGGGGGAUAACGUCCGGAAACGGGCGCUAAUACCGCAUACGUCCUGAGGGAGAAAGUGGGGGAUCUUCGGACCUCACGCUAUCAGAUGAGCCUAGGUCGGAUUAGCUAGUUGGUGGGGUAAAGGCCUACCAAGGCGACGAUCCGUAACUGGUCUGAGAGGAUGAUCGGUCACACUGGAACUGAGACACGGUCCAGACUCCUACGGGAGGCAGCAGUGGGGAAUAUUGGACAAUGGGCGAAAGCCUGACCCAGCCAUGCCGCGUGUGUGAAGAAGGUCUUCGGAUUGUAAAGCACUUUAAGUUGGGAGGAAGGGCAGUAAGUUAAUACCUUGCUGUUUUGACGUUACCAACAGAAUAAGCACCGGCUAACUUCGUG